AGAGACCUUAGCACAAGUGGCAUAAGACACGAAGUUCCAGGGCAUACGGUUUAUAUAAAAAACAAUGGUCUGUUGAUUGCUUUGUGGCUGUUAGUCUGAAACCAGCUGGAGACCUGGCAUGGCUUCUUGGAGAGUGUCCUCAAUUUGGUCUCAGAAUGAGUCACUCAUGAGAGGAUUGAAGGGCAACACUGUGAAAUGCUGUUCCCCAUCUUCAUGGGUAGAUUGGCCUCAAGGAGAAGGCCUUGAAAUAAUCUGUCUCAUGUCAAGACAGUUAUUCUUCUUAGGAUGGCUGCCAGGGAAUAGAUGAAAGGCAGAAGUGGCGAUGGGUGACUGAUGUGGCACACUUAUGAAGAAAAGCCUCUUUUUCCAUGCUUGUUUUUCCUCCCCAAGGAGCCAACAGAGUUUCUAUUCUCCAACUCUGCUCUUCACCUUACCCAAGUCAUUAAAGUCACCUGGAGUCACGGAAAUGACCAUGAUUGCCUGAACUUUCAUGACUUCUGUGGAUAACUGUGGUUGCAGAAAAGAGAAAACCUGGACCGUGAGGGACAUUUCACUCCCUGGGCUUUGGCCUCCCUACAGCGUUGGCUCAGCUCUAGCUACUUGGAAGGUCGUGGCAAUGCUGUCUCAGAAUGUCCAUUUCUAGAGUACAGAGAAGAAAUUCUAGCUUGACGUCCACGUGCAUUUGUCUGUGUUUCAGAGGAAAUUCCAAUUCUAAACUCUUGGAAGAAACAAUUUCUCGGCAUGCUGAAGAGAAUUGCUGUUUUUUGGCACCCGAAACACUUUUACCCGAGGGUUCUGAUUAUUUAAAUAAUUGGUAUGCUAUAACUAUUCUGGUUGACAGAAAUGUGGUUUAAUGUAGAUGAGUUGUAAAAACAUGAGACAAACAUGCUCCAGGCUAAAAAUAUCUGGAUUAAAAAAGAAAAAGAAAAGAAGAGGUGGGAGAAGAGAGAGAGGGAGGGAGAAAGGAAGAAAAAAGGAAGGAAGG